AUUAUUUUUUAAUUUUAUUUUUUGGUAUUGCAUAUCAAUAGAAGUUUUUAUCAUAAUUUAUGAAUAAUAGAAAUAAAGUGUCAAGGUUUUAUUAUUUUUUAUUUUUACGAAAUUAAUUAUAAUUAUGACUUUGUAUUGAUAUAACGUACUUUUAUUUCUGUUUUUUUUUAUAUUUAUAGUUAAGUUAUAUUUCCAUUUUAUAUAGUUUUAAUAUAAUUUUUUUUUAAAUGUUGUUUAUUUUGUUUAAAUAUUUAUUUUUUUUUUUUUUUUUUUUUUUUGGUUAAUUUUUUAAUUAAUUUAUUCUUUUUAUUUUAGUAAUUUUUUUUUUGUUUUGUAUUAUUUUUGUUUUUUAAUUUUAUUUUUGAACUAGAUUUGUUGUUAAAUGUUUAUUAAAAACUUAGGUUUUUUUUUAAAGUUGUCUUCUGCUCUAUGAUUUUUUUAAAUGGCAGCCUUAGCGUGAUGGCAUCAAAGUAGCGUAAGUGAUUUGUUUUUUUAUUGUUUUCAAGUAUGAAUGGAGUUUUUAGCAAUUUUUUUGUUUAUAUUUUAUUUGAAUUAUUUUUUUUAUUAAAAAUUAUUGAUUGUAAUAUUACAAAGAUAAGUCUUCGGAAAUUUUGUUUUAGUAUUUGAUUUUUUUUUUGUUUUUUACUAAUAUUUUCUUGGGGAUGGAAUUUAAUAAAUUUUUUUUACUAUUUUUAUUUUUAAAAAUUACUCCGGAGUUAACAGGGUUGUGGACAUGUAAAUAGUUUUUUUAUAUUAGUGUGCUGCGCUACAUCGAUGUUGUAUAUUUUUUAUGAAAAGAGAGAGAAUUUUUUUUUUUUGAGACUGUUCUUCUUGUAUAAAAAAUGAACUUGAUAUUAGUUUAGUUCGUCGUGAGACAGAGCGGUUUAUCUUGUAUAUUUAUUUGUUUUUAUCGGGAUAAGUACGAAAGGAAAAUUAUGAAGGUUAAUAUUUAUGAUCUUUUUAUUUUUAUGGAAUUUAUUCUUUUUUUAAAUCUUAUUAUUGUUUUUUUUUUUUCUUUUUUAGUUCCUUUUUUU
rnacentral:rRNA from 1 species